rnacentral:tRNA from 1 species
AGGAGUGUAGCUCAAUUGGUAGAGCGCUGGUCUCCAAAACCAGAAGUUGUAGGUUCAAUUCCUAUCACUCCUG